rnacentral:rRNA from 1 species
AGCUCGUAGGUGGUUUGUCGCGUUGUUCGUGAAAUCUCACGGCUUAACUGUGAGCGUGCGGGCGAUACGGGCAGACUUGAGUACUGCAGGGGAGACUGGAAUUCCUGGUGUAGCGGUGGAAUGCGCAGAUAUCAGGAGGAACACCGGUGGCGAAGGCGGGUCUCUGGGCAGUAACUGACGCUGAGGAGCGAAAGCGUGGGGAGCGAACAGGAUUAGAUACCCUGGUAGUCCACGCCGUAAACGGUGGGUACUAGGUGUGGGUUUCCUUCCUUGGGAUCCGUGCCGUAGCUAACGCAUUAAGUACCCCGCCUGGGGAGUACGGCCGCAAGGCUAAAACUCAAAGAAAUUGACGGGGGCCCGCACAAGCGGCGGAGCAUGUGGAUUAAUUCGAUGCAACGCGAAGAACCUUACCUGGGUUUGACAUGCACAGGACGCCGGCAGAGAUGUCGGUUCCCUUGUGGCCUGUGUGCAGGUGGUGCAUGGCUGUCGUCAGCUCGUGUCGUGAGAUGUUGGGUUAAGUCCCGCAACGAGCGCAACCCUUGUCUCAUGUUGCCAGCGGGUAAUGCCGGGGACUCGUGAGAGACUGCCGGGGUCAACUCGGAGGAAGGUGGGGAUGACGUCAAGUCAUCAUGCCCCUUAUGUCCAGGGCUUCACACAUGCUACAAUGGCCGGUACAAAGGGCUGCGAUGCCGCGAGGUUAAGCGAAUCCUUUUAAAGCCGGUCUCAGUUCGGAUCGGGGUCUGCAACUCGACCCCGUGAAGUCGGAGUCGCUAGUAAUCGCAGAUCA